rnacentral:lncRNA from 1 species
UAACUUGUUUGAAAAUUCUUGGAAUAUGUCAUGCCCCUAAGGCAAGAUCGAGUUGUAAAAUAUCUCAUGAAUGAAGACACAACGUAGUAGAGUCAACUCUUGCCCGUGGGGCAUAAUUUGUUGUUUGAAAGUCCUUGAGCUAAGUCAUGCCUCUAGGGCAAGAGUUGUAGAACAUCUCAUAAAUGAAGACAUAACGUGGUAGUAUCAACUCUUACCCAUGGGAUAUAAUUUAUUAAUUGAAAGUCUUUGAGCUAAGUCUUGCCUCUAAGGCAACAAUUGUAGAACAUCUCAUAAAUGAAGACAUAAUGUGGUAGUGUCAACUCUUGCCCGUGAGGCAUAAUUUGUUGUUUAAAAGUCCUCGAGUUAAGUCUUGCUUCUAAGGAAAGAGUUGUAGAACAUCACAUAAAUGAAAACAUAACGUGGUAGAGUCAACUCUUGUCCAUAGGAUAUAAUUUGUUGUUUGAAAGUCCUUGAGUGCCUCUAAGAUAAA